AUUGAACGCUGGCGGUAGGCCUAACACAUGCAAGUCGAGCGGAGCGGCGGACGGGUGAGUAAUACCUAGGAAUCUGCCUGGUAGUGGGGGAUAACGUUCGGAAACGGACGCUAAUACCGCAUACUAUCAGAUGCACCUAGGUCGGAUUGGCUAGUUGGUGAGGUAAUGGCUAACCAAGGCUACGAUCCGUAACUGGUAUGAGAGGAUGAACAGUCACACUGGAACUGAGAUACGGUCCAGCCUCCUACGGGAGGCAGAAGUGGGGAAUAUUGCACAAUUGGCGCAAGCCUGAUGCAGCCAUGCCGCGGGUGUGAAGAAGGCCUUCGGGUUGUAAAGCACUUUCAGCGGGGAGGCGUUACCCGCAGAAGAAGCACCGGCUAACUCCGUGCCAGCAGCCGCGGUAAUUC
rnacentral:rRNA from 1 species